rnacentral:rRNA from 1 species
CCUACGGGAGGCAGCAGUGGGGAAUAUUGGGCAAUGGGCGCAAGCCUGACCCAGCAACGCCGCGUGAAGGAAGAAGGCUCUCGGGUUGUAAACUUCUUUUAUCAGGGACGAAGCAAGUGGCGGUACCUGAUGAAUAAGCCACGGCUAACUACGUGCCAGCAGCCGCGGUAAUACGUAGGUGGCAAGCGUUAUCCGGAUUUACUGGGUGUAAAGGGCGUGUAGGCGGGAAAGCAAGUCAGAUGUGAAAACCAGGGGCUCAACCUGUGGCCUGCAUUUGAAACUGUUUUUCUUGAGUACUGGUGAGGCAGACGGAAUUCCUAGUGUAGCGGUGAAAUGCGUAGAUAUUAGGAGGAACACCAGUGGCGAAGGCGGUCUGCUGGACAGCAACUGACGCUGAGGCGCGAAAGCGUGGGGAGCAAACAGGAUUAGAUACCCUAGUAGUC